AAUAAUUACUUAACUGAUGAUCUUUUGAGUAGGAAUCUCAUUGAGCUUCAGUCAUGCGUUGCUUUGAAAUUACUUUUGUCUCCCACUGAUUAUAUUUAU
rnacentral:snoRNA from 1 species